GACGAGGGCGCGAGCGUUAAUCGGAAUUACUGGGGCGUAAAAGCGUGCGCAGGCGGUGAUGUAAGACAGGUGUGAAAUCCCCGGGCUUAACCUGGGAACUGCGCUUGUUACUAGCAAGCUGGAGUGUGGCAGAGGGGGGUGGAAUUCCACGUGUAGCAGUGAAAUGCGUAGAGAUGUGGAGGAACACCGAUGGCGGAAGGCAGCCCCCUGGGCUAACACUGACGCUCAUGCACGAAAGCGUGGGGAGCAAACAGG
rnacentral:rRNA from 1 species